CAGUAGCCGCGGUAAAACCAGCAGCCCAAGUGGUGGUCGCGAUUAUUGGGCCUAAAGCGCUCGUAGCCGGGCCGGUAAGUCCCUUGUGAAAUCGGACGGCCUAACCGUUCGGCGUGCAAGGGAUACUGUCGGUCUUGAGGCCGGGAGACGUCCGAGGUACUCCGGGGGUAGCGGUGAAAUGUUCUGAUCCUCGGGGGACCACCGGUGGCGAAGGCGUUCGACGAGAACGGGCCUGACGGUGAGGGGCGAAGGCUAGGGGAGCAAACGGGAUUAGAUACCCGAGUAGUCCCUGUCUCUUAUA
rnacentral:rRNA from 1 species